rnacentral:rRNA from 1 species
AGCAGCCGCGGUAAUUCCAGCUCCAAUAGCGUAUAUUAAAGUUGUUGCAGUUAAAAAGCUCGUAGUUGAAUUUCGGGGUCAGUAGGUUGGUCAUGCCACUGGUAUGUACUGAUCUUACUGAUUCCUCCUUCCUGAUGAACCGUAAUGCCAUUAAUUUGGUGUUGCGGGGAAACUGGACUGUUACUUUGAAAAAAUUAGAGUGUUUAAAGCAGGCUAACGCUUGAAUACAUUAGCAUGGAAUAAUGAAAUAGGACGUUCGAUCCUAUUUUGUUGGUUUCUAGGAUUGACGUAAUGAUUAAUAGGGAUAGUUGGGGGCAUUAGUAUUCAAUUGUCAGAGGUGAAAUUCUUGGAUUUAUUGAAGACUAACUACUGCGAAAGCAUUUGCCAAGGAUGUUUUCAUUAAUCAAGAACGAAAGUUAGGGAUCGAAGACGAUCAGAUACCGUCGUAGU